CACCGUCCAAAGAGCGUACAGGGGAGUGCGGCAAGAGGCUGGGCUGUUGGAGACGGGCGGGCGAAGUCUUUAGUACUGGGGUCGAGAAGGGAAGACAGUUCCUACAGGCCAACAUAACUCAAAGGUGCGCGAUCUCGUUUCCCUGGAAGAAGCGGAAGGGCACAGCGGCCGCUCUCGGUGACGUAAGCGCCGUCCGCUCGCUGGCCGAGGCGUGCGGUGGCCGGAGAGUGCGCUGCGCAUGCGCCCCGGGGAAGAAAGCAGCCGCUGAGCGCUCCCCUUGGGGGCGGGGCUCGUCCCGAGGCUCCCUGUGCCACCGCGAAGCUGCCAGAUGUGAUCCAGACUGAGGAGUGUCUAGGGCUUGUAGGAAGGGUUUAUUUGGAAGGCGCUGGUUUUCUGUUGUGUUAAAGAUUUUGCAUUCUUUGUUGACCUCGCAAAAAAUUGUCUAUUGCAUAUAAGUAGAAUUGCGGCUUUUUUCUGGUGGCACAUACCGGAUGGAGGUAGGCGGUCGAGCACUUUAGAAAUCUGGCAGUUUGGAAGAUCCUAUCCUUAAGCAUCGUCUUGGGUGUUAAAGGCCUUUUAAAACGGUCCUGGAAGAGUAAACUUGAUCUGCUUGACAGCUGUGGAAAGAAUUUCAUCUCCGUUCUCUGCCUGAUUGCCCUGGCACAGCUGCCCCGCUGGCAUUCUUCAGAUGGGUAAUGACCUUGAAUGCUAGGAAACAACGGAGUCGUCCAAGCCCCAAGGCUCUGUGGCUCAUUUGCAAAGUUCCCCUCUUCAUCUGCUGUCAGUGCCUCCUCCCCGGCUGCGUGGCCACCGCAGAUUCUCAGCUCCACCAUUGUGCUAAGCUCAAGCGUGUGUCUGUACGAUGCAUUCUCCCGUGACUUUCUCAUCCUACCCCAGUGUCCAACGGUCUGAACACAAGCAGAGGAGGACGGAGAGUCCAGGCAUGUGGUCUGUGGAGGUCAGGCUCCAGGCUACGGGGAGGGACGGAGCGUCGAUCUGAAGGGGCAGCUGGAGUCUUUGCAGGCUCGUCAGUGGAUCGGUUCGCUCUACCUUGAAACGCAUCCAGAAUCUAAGUCUCACUCCCGUCACCCUUGUUUCCUUCCUAGCCCCCGCGCUGUUGCUCACGUUGACAACCGCAUUAGCCUCUCAUCACUAUCCCUUUACCCGGCUUUAUUUUUUACAGCAUUUAUGACUCUCUAAAAUAUUAUGUAUCAUUUGAUAAUUUGCUUAUUGUAUAUCUCUCUCUACUAGAAUGGAAAUUCCGUGAAAUUAUAAACUUAAUCUGUUCUAUAAUGCUAUUACAUUCCUUAUACAUUACAGGCAGUCAAUAUCUUUUGAAUUAGCUGAGUAAUUAAUCUGAAAUGAAUCUGAUUUGGUUUCUGUUACUUAAAGCCAAGGAAACUUAGGUGAUUCAGGUGUGUGUAAGGUAAUCUCAUUUUGGUUUUUUGAAAAGUUUAUUUGUGCUCAUAGAAGAGAAUGUAAGUAUAUUCAAAAUUAGAAAUGAUUACCACUGGAGAGUGGGACUUGAGGUCAUUUCCAGUUUCUUCUUCAGUUUAAUACUUCUGGAAUAUUCUACAAUGAAUGUGUAUGAUCCUUGUAAUCAGAUAAAGAGAAAUCCCUUUAUUUUGAAGUACAGACUAGGACUAGAUCAGUCAGACGCAGGGAAGCUGGGUAAUUCUUUUUCCUCUCUUGGCUCCCUUCCCUUCCGUACCGUGUCGUGGCCAACCCUUUUCUGUUCUUCCGAAGCUCUUGUGCUGAAUCCUUCCCCCACCUCAUCUUCCCUGCUCUGUGCCUAGGGAGGUGACCAUGAGAUUGCGACCACCUGGCUUUUGCCCUCUGGCUUCCGGCUCCGAUCAGCGAAUGGUUUUAGCUGAGAUCUAGAGGGUCAGAUUAUUUACUCCCCAGCACCCGCGUCACCAGCUCCCUGCAGCGGGAUAUAGCCCUUUAGGUUAGGGCUAAAGGCCCUAGUUCUGGUCAGAUGGUCCUCUCCAAACAGCUGUCUCUAGCCACCCCCAACCUUCCUCUGGCUCCUUCAGGCCCAGGGAUGGUUAGAGCCUCCCCUACUGCCAGCCCUGGAGUAAUGCACCAUCCCCUGUUCUUCCUAAGCCCUGCUCACAGCUCUAAAAUCUCCCCUCAGAUUACCCAGUUCUGGGGUUCCCUGUCUUUUCUUCAAGGUCUGAGCGAAGCAUUCAACCUCGUCCUCACUCACUCUUAGCAAAUGGCCUUGUUCAUUAGUUUUUACUGAGAAGGUUGAGGCCUUCCACCAGCUUUCUUGGCAUUUCUCAAAUGUCUGCGCCCCAUCACUCCAGUAACAGUGGUCCAUGUCAUGGCCCACGGCCACCUCCACUCCUCACUUCUGAGAGCACAGAACACAUCUGGGAGCAGGGCUCCACCCUGUUUUUUUCUUACUCUGAGAACUUUCCAUAGAGAACAAACUGAUGGUUACCAGAGGUGGGCGGGAGGUGAAAUAGAGGAAGGGGACUGAAGAGUAUAUCUAACAGGGUGAGCACUGAGUGAUGUACACAACUGUUUGGUUGUUUUUAAAGAUUUCCUUAUUUAUUUUAGAGGGAGAGCAUGCUGGGAAGGGGCAGAGGGAGAGAGAGUCUCAAGCAGACUCCAUGCUGAGUGGGGAGCCCAGCCUGGGGCUCGAUCUCACCACCCUGAGACCAUGACCUGUGCCGAAACCAAGAGUCGGAUGGUUAACCAACUGAGCCACGCAGGUGCCCCGUUGCUGGGUUUUGCAUAUGGAAUGCGUCACGAAUGUGCGUGUCAUCUUUGCACAGGGGCUGUGCCACUCUUCUCUGUCUUGUUCCAAUUUUAGUGUAUGUGCUGUAGACAUGAGCCCUCAAAUUGCUGACUCACUGUAUUGUACACCUAACUAAUACCACACUGUAUGCUCACUGUAUUGGAAUUAAAACUG